rnacentral:rRNA from 1 species
UACGUAGGGUGCGAGCGUUAAUCGGAAUACUGGGCGUAAAGCGUGCGCAGGCGGUUAUAUAAGACAGUUGUGAAAUCCCCGGGCUCAACCCUGGGAAUUGCAUCUGUGACUGUAUAGCUAGAGUACGGUAGAGGGGGAUGGAAUUCCGCGUGUAGCAGUGAAAUGCGUAGAUAUGCGGAGGAACACCGAUGGCGAAGGCAAUCCCCUGGACCUGUACUGACGCUCAUGCACGAAAGCGUGGGGAGCAAACAGG